GGAGAGAGAGAGAGACAAGGUUGUAUGUGGAUCAGUGGUGGCUUGCUCCCGGUUUGGUCCGGUUCUUGCGAACCGGUAAUAAAAGCAGUGGGAGGCUCCGCCCGCCCACCCGAACAUCAUCAUGGCCGAUCAGCGCAUGCGCAGAUGCUUCUGUAGUGCGCUCCCAUUGCGAACUGGUAGUAAAGAUGCUGAAUCCACUCCAUCUCUCAGAGGAUCCCAUCAGUGAGAUCAGGAAUUGGAGUCAAUGUUACGCUGGAAAAAAGACAGAAUCAAAAUCAAGUUGUCAGCAGUAGAAGAG